AUCUGAACAUCUAACUAAAGUGCAAUAGGGAGCACUUAGGCUCCUUUAAGUUCAUGAAUAUUCAGUGAAGAGGUUGUUAGCAUAUCAAAAGGGCAAUUCAGGAUCCCAAAGUUAGAUGUCUCAAGUCAGAGCUAAUAUCUCUUUGAAAUCUACUUAUUUGUCCAAUGUGUGGUAGUAGGAGAGAAAUACUGUUUUUUUGUGUGUUUUUUUUAAUUUGUUCUGAUUGCUUUUUUUUUUUUUUUUUUUNUGCAGCUAAGCUUCAGGCCAGUGUGCUGUAUUUAUUAUUCCUAAUGGCAUUAGGAGUUACUCUGCCUAACUGCUAUUUUUAACUUAGCUUUCUGUUUGUAGCUGUCCACUUAGAAAGUUUUGCUUAGUCUGAGAUUUUCAUGGAGACUUGCACUGCCAGAGGUUAACGAGAUAAAUUCAGAGGAACUUGUCACUAAGUACUUGCUUGCUUGAUUUGGCCAGCUAAUUUUUUAGGGUUGUUGAUUAGAGCUAUGAUGGAUCCUGGGGAGAGUGUCACAUCCAAGAAAAGUGGUGUGUUAAUGGAUGAAGUAGACCACAGUGAACCUAAAAGGAAAUACAAGUUAAGAGCAAAGCUGUGUGUACUUCUAGCAUGCACUUCUGCAAAUGUUUGCAUAUAAGUGACCUUUUUUGUUUGUUUACAGGUCCUUGAUUACUGGACUGUUGAGGUCAGUAGUAGCUUUGUCAGCGCAGGAAUGGGGAAUCUGCCUGAGGGGAAAAGGUGCUGCUGACCUCACCAGUCCAGUUGCCUUUGGAACAGCUUGGCAUGAAUGGAAAGCCAGAGACAUCAGGACAACAACUUCAAGAUCCAGAAGAAAGGGAUGGAAAGGGCUGUGUUGUAAAUCUUAUGAUGCUUUAGCCCAGGAAUUCAAUCAUUGUGGUUUCUGGGAUAGGAUCUACAGCCACGAUUGCCAGCACAGAUUCCUUGUAUGGUACGUAGUGGAAAAGGAGGUGCCUCAACAGGAUAGCUGGGAGCCAGGGCAGCUGAGUGAAACUGUGUCUAACCAAGCAUUUGACAACAUGGAUUAGAAGGGAUAUAUGUUGGCCGUAAAGGAAGACUGAAUCUGGAUAACUAAUUCUGGGUUGCUGUGAAGUGUAAACUGUGAUGACACCUGCAGUACUAGGCAUUUCCUUCUGUUUUGAACAUAUCAGAUAUUUUUGCUUGAACUUUUCCUGAUAUGUAGCAUUAUUAUUUUGUCUCCUGUUAGUUAAAUCCUACUCUUUCCUGAUUUUACUACUCAAAAUAAAUUUUCUAUGUGUCCAUGUUUUUGGAAUAAU
rnacentral:lncRNA from 1 species